ensembl:lncRNA
AUACUUCCAGGACUCAGACGGUAAGUAGACAGGUAAGGGCGUUCCCACAACAAUAUGUUCCUUCCUAGGGCUCGCAAACAGAGAGAGUGGUUUAAGAGGAGAUUCCAGCGCGGCAGUAUAAUACUCAGAGCUCAGACCACCCAAGAGAGGAUAGCGCAAGAAGAUACCUCACCAGCUCAGCUGUAUCACUCUGGGAUUCUAAUGGAGAGCAGGUAUCAUAACUUUUCACAAACGGGUUGGGACUACUUCUCAGCAAAAGCACACCACACUCGUGUUCACCACAAAUCCACAGCAAUGAAUCAAUGUGUAACAAUAAGGCAAAAGCACUGCAAUUCACUCACACGGUAAGGCUGAUCAGAGGUCUCAAUCCAUUCGUUACACUCCCGUGGGGGAUAUUCAAUCCUCAAUUCCUCUUCAGCACACUCUGAAACACAUAGCUUCCCCAACAGUCAGAUUUACAUUCACUGUAUCCUCUUCAAGCUUUUCGAAUGUUUGUAAGAUGAAAUCAAUUAACUUAUCUUUCUCUCUCCCUUCACAGCGCAGAUCCAAUCGAUAAAUCAGUCCAGCAGAUUCCCACAGACGAACUCUGUUCCAGCAGACUUCAAUAGAAAAACCAUUUCCCCGGAGACUUCAACAGGAAACCUUCACACCCAAAUAACUUCCCUGGGCAAGCUUGUGCCCAAAACUGCUCCACAAAGACCCACCGCCCCAAAACUUCUCUGAAUAGCCCUUUUAUCCUUUGCUUGUAAAACAGGAAGCCUAUGUGCAUGCCGCUCCUCUCUCUCUCGCACCUGCAGUGCAUUAGCGCUAAUCAGGCCGGACAAUGUUUCUGCCGCACCCGGAACCGGAGUGGGAUGUGUCGCACACAAAUCGUUCCCUCGGGAAACUCGUGACUCGUCAAGAGGGUUCCGCUUGCUGAGCGUUUUUGUCACCCGUGACAUGAGCAAGACCUUGUUUGUUGACUUACUGGGAGAUUUAUUAAGCUGAGCUAUUGCAACACCUUGUUUG